CGUGGUUAAGGUAGAGAACCGUGGAGUGCUGCAACUUUGUGGUUUGUUUCACUAUGGCCUCCACCACAUCAGGGUGACAGUGCCCGCAGCACACUGUCGCAAUCCCUCCAAAGGCGUCCACGUAUCUUCUUCCCUUUUCAUCAAACAGGUACUGUUUCUUUCCCUCCACUAUGUUCACCUGCACCCACAAACCACUGCUUUAUCACUACUAUACAUUUCUAAAUAAAUUAAUCUUUAUUAUUCCUACGUUAUGCUCAUUGAAUAUUAAAAAUAUUAUUGUAAUUAAUUAAUUAAUUAUGAUUAGCAUUAAAUAAAUAUUCACAUCAUAUUUAUUGUUUUACGAAUAAAUAUUUGUCUAUACGAUUAAAAACCGCAUCCACUAAAAGAAUUUUUACAACCAAUUCAUUCAAUCACAAAUAAAAGAAAAAACUUUAAAUAUUUGUACUCCUCCAUUAAAGCCUAUUAAAUAAAAAAAUGACUACAACUCUUUAAAAAAUAAUUGUUUAUUUAAAAAUUAGUAGGAGAAUUAACACAUAUAUACCGAAUGAUAAUGUAUUAUUACUGUAAAAUUGUUUUUAAUUGAUUACAAAUUAACAUGAAAAAUAAUUUUAUCAAAUUUUGUAAAUACGAUAUAUAUAUAUAUAUAUAUAUAUACUUAAUCAUAUUUUUUUGAUGNNNNNNNNNNNNNNNNNNNNNNNNNNNNNNNNNNNNNNNNNNNNNNNNNNNNNNNNNNNNNNNNNNNNNNNNNNNNNNNNNNNNNNNNNNNNNNNNNNNNCAACUCCAACGUGGAGGAAUUGCUUUGUCGCUUCCUUACCCCGCCUAUGCAACUGUGCUAUCUGCAAGAAUGCUCUUAGAACCUUCUCCGGGAACUUCAAACGCAACCUGCAAAACACACAGACGGCGCCUCUAGCGGCCGUUUGCACUCCGACGCUCAAGUUAGGUCACAGAACCACCAACAAAAAUAAUCUCACUCAAUCUCUUUCUGAUUCUCUCUCUAUGUUUGUGCCUAACAGAAUUCUGUUACGCUAUUCUUUGCGUGUGUCAGAAUUCUGUUACGCUAUUGUGCGAAAAUGUACCACAAUGAGUAAAAACGUGGGUGUCUGUGUUUUCUGUGUGUACCUUUCACGACGCGGAGUGCACCUUUAUCUUGGCCGCGCCCCUCUCAGAUGGUGACACGUGGAGGCAUGCAACUCACAUCUAAACGUACACGUGCCACUACCUGAAGGGCUCUAGCGCAUCUCUUUGUGCGCCUAAGUUAUUCCCUUGCGGAGUAACUUAGCGCGUUUCUUCCAUCUGGGUGAAUCGCACACUCCCAGGAGAACGCCAGGUGUGGCUGGACUAGGCACACUCACCAAGCAUUUCUCUCUGCAUACACGAUUUCCCCUUCACGAUGUCAUACACGUAAUGGGUUAAGAGAGUCACCANNNNNNNNNNNNNNNNNNNNNNNNNNNNNNNNNNNNNNNNNNNNNNNNNNNNNNNNNNNNNNNNNNNNNNNNNNNNNNNNNNNNNNNNNNNNNNNNNNNNUGACUAGUUUACUAACUCCCUCAGGCCACUCUCGUGCACGAUUCUUCCGGCGAGCAGCUCCUCUUUCUCUGAGAUAUGAUCAUGCGUAACGCUCUCGCUGGGACUCUCAGUCCCAGUUUAACUGCGUGUAACACGAAACCCCGAUGACCAUGCACCCGAUGACUGAUCAGUGCUCUAUUGCUUCUCGCGUUCUCCCCCGGGUGUUUAUCUUGGAACUGAUCUGUCGUGGCCACUCGGUUACUGACCACCGAUCACUGUACUGGGUGAUCUCCUCCCUGAUUUCUCUGCCACCUGAUCCACGUGUCACCCUGCGAGUGGUCCACGUGAUUAUCUGCUGUUGACGUCAUCGACUACCGAUGACCGACCGGAUCAGCACGAAUAGGGAGAAUGCAAAUUUCCCAAAAAAAAUUCUUUAUUGAAGAUAACGAUUUUAAUUUACCAAAAAUUCACAUGCCCAAAAAAUAUAUCUUCUAAUUUAUCUUUUUUAUAAUUUUUAUAUUUUCAAUUAACUAUAAAUUAUCAGAUAUAUAAAUUAUCAAUAUAUAUUAAAUAUCAAAUAUUAUAUUUAAUUAAAAUGUAAUACUAUAAAAUUAUUAAAAAAACAAUUUAAAGAUUAAAAUAAUUAAUUACUAUAUUAAUUAAAUUCGAUAUUAUUUUAUAAAAUAAAAAUUAUUGAUAUCUAAAUUAAUUUAUAAUAAAAUAUUAUAAAUUAAUUUUUAAAUUGAUAUUUAAAUUAGCUAGUAUCUAAAAAUUUAAUAAUUAAUUAAAUACUAAUUUAUAAAUUAAUUUAUUAAUAAUAUAAAUUAUUUUAGAUAUCAAUAAUUUUUUUACUUUAUAAAAUAAUAUCUUUAUAAAUAUUAAAUUUAGUUAAUAUAUUAAUUAAUUAUUUUUUGCUUUUAAAAAUAGUUUUUAUUUAAUAUUUUUAUUGUAACAAUAUUCUUUUAUUUUAUAAAAUUCAUGAAUUUAUUUUUUUCUUAAUUUUAGUCCUUUAAUUUUUAAUUAUCUAUGAUCUCUGAACUUAUCUUUUACGUAAUUUUAAUCAAUUCAUUUUUAAUUAUUUUUAAACUUAUUCGAUUUUUAUUUUAAAAAUAUAUAAAUUAUAUUUGGAAAUAAUUUUAUGGAGUUAUUACUCUUUUCAAUACUAUGUCAUAGCUAAAGUAACAAAAAAAAUUAUGUAUAAUUUAGCUAAAAUUAAAGAAGGUUAUAUAAUUAAAAAUUAAAAUUGUGUAAAAAGUUUAGAAAAGAAUAAAGAUAAUUAAAAAAUAAAAAGACUAAAAUUUCAGGAAAAAAACUAUCAACUAAAAUUGAAAUUUUAUAAAAUAUAGAGAUCAAAAUUAUAAUUAAAGAAAAAUAUAAUUAACUAUAACAAAAAAAGUUAAAUAUUACGUUAAAUGUGUUACUUAUUAUAUUGCUCUAAUACCUACUUAAAACAUGUACAUGUAUAAAAUUGUUGGUUUUAUUCACAGUGGGAGGAGUAUUUUAUAAAAUUUGGUUAGUUAUUUUGUUAACAUCUUAAUCUUAAUUAAUAUGGUAUAAUCUUUAAAGUUUGAAUUUUGUUCUAUCUCAUAAGUGUUCUUGCCAGUUGAAUUCGGACUCAAUGGGCAAACUCCUCUUCUGUUUUGUCUCCAACUGUUACUUUGAGGUGUCGUUUCACUGGAACAAAUGGGACUCUACCUGUUGAUCACACUCCGACGAUUAAGUCAAUGAGAGCAUUCAAAUAUCAAAUCAGUUUCGGUCUUAAGUAUUCAGAAACAGCGUACCUUUACCGGGGGUUUCAAGCCCCUUUUAUAGAUAUUGUUCCUGUCGGUUGACUCGAAGUGCCUUCAUGCGCCUACGUCACUCUUUCGUUCAGAAUCUUUGCAUUUGCACGUGCCAUUCCUGUGAUGAAUGCCUGAAAACACAAAGACAAGGGGCGCCCUAGAGGCCGUUUGCACUCUGACGCUCAAGUCAGUAUUAGGGUUAGGAAACACCGAAAUUGUGUUACUGUCACUGUAUGUGAUUAAGCGAUGCAAAAUGAAUAGCGUACCUUGCCAAGUUUGUUACCUUACUAUUUAUAGACUGAAACUAGGGUUUUCUCUUUACCCAAAAUGGGCUUUUCCGAUGGGGCGGGCCCAACACUAUUGUUACCCUACUCUUAGGAUAACCUAGCGCGUGGGGUCCCUAACUAGAGUGCAACCUCUGACGGGGUGACCACCUGGGUGCCUCCUCGUGCACCUGAUCUCUAGCGUCACCUGCCUCUGGGAGUGCCCUAGCUGUUCACGUGCCAUGCAUGCAGCUCAUCCCUGGAACGCGACCCUCACGGGUCAUAUCUUUCUAGUGGCUCUACACUUGUGUUACGCUUGAACAUGUCAUCCACUCUACACGCAUGGACCCUUAUGACCUAGGCUUCUCCCUUACUGAUAACUGGUGUGUGGUCUAGGAUCCACCUCUCGUGGCCCAACUCUACUGUUUGGGUCCCGAUGUCCGACCUCUCCACAUUGUCUAGUGGCACGUCGGUACAUCUUGGCGACCGAUGUCUGACCAUCCUUUGGCUUCUUGGUGCACGUGCUUCGCGAGACACUGGCCCACGCCGCUCGUGGGACCCCGCUUACGUGGCACCAACAUUACUAGUGGUCAAAAACGCCCAAGGACUGGUCGAUACACAAGCACCCCAGUCUCGAGUUGUAACUCGUUCAGCGAAGAGACUAAAUCCUUGCCAUGGUGACCUACGUGGCUCUGUGUGACAGGACGUGAAUGUUGCACCAAAGCGACGUCUUUAUGGGCCUGUCUUAUCCGCGCACAUGUGUUUUGAUCAACAGUUAGGGCUUAAUGUCACUUACGCUUUUUUGUUUUCUUUAAACGUUCGAAAGCGCGCACAUCCAAUCACUGUUCUAUCAUUCGCUGAAACUCUCGAUUGCUUCGUCUUCUUCCUCGAGUAUUCUUGCGCCUACACAUUCCAAGAUCUUCUUGCUAUCUGAUUAAAGGUAUGAACUUUGACUAUUGUUCACACUCACUUUCAAUUCUGAUGUUGGAUAACUGCCUGGGCUGUUUAAUCUUUGUAUUUCAAUCGCUCUCUGUUCCUUUUCCCUGAGUUUCCUUCGAGUUAGGGUUCAAGAAACCCGGGACUCUGGCGGAGCUAACUCUUGUUAUCGUAAUGUUGUGUUUGUGCACUCUACCUCGGUGCAUUUGCAUGUUUUAUCUCUAUGUUUCUUCUGAAAUUUGCACGCAGGUAUGGUUCUGAGUGAAGAGAAGCGAGCCAAACUGACUAAUAUCCUCGCUCACCUCUGCGGAAUUUCUAGGGAUGUGGGCACUUCUAGCCACCAUGCCCUUGCUUCUGCCACCGCCGCGCCUUCGCCCACUCUUGGAGUCGCGAUCCCUCUCGUCGCCGCCCAAUCGUCUCCCGCUCCAUUCCGCC
rnacentral:lncRNA from 1 species